rnacentral:rRNA from 1 species
UGCUAACACAUGCAAGUCGAACGAUGAUCUCCAGCUUGCUGGGGGGAUUAGUGGCGAACGGGUGAGUAACACGUGAGUAACCUGCCCUUGACUCUGGGAUAAGCCUGGGAAACUGGGUCUAAUACCGGAUACGACCAUUCCGCGCAUGCGGUGGUGGUGGAAAGCUUUUGCGGUUUUGGAUGGACUCGCGGCCUAUCAGCUUGUUGGUGGGGUAAUGGCCUACCAAGGCGACGACGGGUAGCCGGCCUGAGAGGGUGACCGGCCACACUGGGACUGAGACACGGCCCAGACUCCUACGGGAGGCAGCAGUGGGGAAUAUUGCACAAUGGGCGGAAGCCUGAUGCAGCGACGCCGCGUGAGGGAUGACGGCCUUCGGGUUGUAAACCUCUUUCAGUAGGGAAGAAGCGAAAGUGACGGUACCUGCAGAAGAAGCGCCGGCUAACUACGUGCCAGCAGCCGCGGUAAUACGUAGGGCGCAAGCGUUAUCCGGAAUUAUUGGGCGUAAAGAGCUCGUAGGCGGUUUGUCGCGUCUGCUGUGAAAGACCGGGGCUCAACUCCGGUUCUGCAGUGGGUACGGGCAGACUAGAGUGAUGUAGGGGAGACUGGAAUUCCUGGUGUAGCGGUGAAAUGCGCAGAUAUCAGGAGGAACACCGAUGGCGAAGGCAGGUCUCUGGGCAUUAACUGACGCUGAGGAGCGAAAGCAUGGGGAGCGAACAGGAUUAGAUACCCUGGUAGUCCAUGCCGUAAACGUUGGGCACUAGGUGUGGGGGACAUUCCACGUUUUCCGCGCCGUAGCUAACGCAUUAAGUGCCCCGCCUG